UACGGGGAGGCAGCAGUGGGGAAUAUUGCACAAUGGGCGCAAGCCUGAUGCAGCGACGCCGCGUGGGGGAUGACGGCCUUCGGGUUGUAAACCUCUUUCAGUAGGGACGAAGCGCAAGUGACGGUACCUACAGAAGAAGGACCGGCCAACUACGUGCCAGCAGCCGCGGUAAUACGUAGGGUCCGAGCGUUGUCCGGAAUUACUGGGCGUAAAGAGCUCGUAGGUGGUUUGUCGCGUUGUUCGUGAAAACCGGGGGCUUAACCCUCGGCGUGCGGGCGAUACGGGCAGACUUGAGUACUGCAGGGGAGACUGGAAUUCCUGGUGUAGCGGUGGAAUGCGCAGAUAUCAGGAGGAACACCGGUGGCGAAGGCGGGUCUCUGGGCAGUAACUGACGCUGAGGAGCGAAAGCGUGGGGAGCGAACAGGAUUAGAUACCCUGGUAGUCCACGCCGUAAACGGUGGGUACUAGGUGUGGGUUUCCUUCCUUGGGAUCCGUGC
rnacentral:rRNA from 1 species